rnacentral:rRNA from 1 species
CAGUCGCCGCGGGAAUACGUAGGGUGCGAGCGUUAAACGGAAUUACUGGGCGUAAAGCGUGCGCAGGCGGUUAUAUAAGACAGAUGUGAAAUCCUCGGGCUCAACCUGGGACCUGCAUUUGUGACUGUAUAGCCAGAGUACGGUAGAGGGGGAUGGAAUUCCGCGUGUAGCAGUGAAAUGCGUAGAUAUGCGGAGGAACACCGAUGGCGAAGGCAAUCCCCUGGACCUGUACUGACGCUCAUGCACGAAAGCGUGGGGAGCAAACAGGAUUAGAUACCCCGGUAGUCCCUGUCUCUUAUAA